rnacentral:tRNA from 1 species
UUUAUAUAAUAUAAAUCAUUAUAUUUGAUUUCCAAUCAAAAAAUCUAUUAAUAGUAGUAUAAAUAA